AAAAAAAAAAAGGAAAGAAGAACUGUUGCAUUUGCCCUGCACCCAGUUUGCACAGGGUAAAUGCAAUAGUUCUUCUUUCCCUUUUUUUA
rnacentral:miRNA from 1 species